GACGAACGCUGGCGGCGUGCUUAACACAUGCAAGUCGAACGGAAAGGCCCUGCUUUUGUGGGGUGCUUGAGUGGCGAACGGGUGAGUAACACGUGAGUAACCUGCCCUUGACUUUGGGAUAACUUCAGGAAACUGGGGCUAAUACCGGAUAGGAGCUCCUGCUGCAUGGUGGGGGUUGGAAAGUUUCGGCGGUUGGGGAUGGACUCGCGGCUUAUCAGCUUGUUGGUGGGGUAGUGGCUUACCAAGGCUUUGACGGGUAGCCGGCCUGAGAGGGUGACCGGCCACAUUGGGACUGAGAUACGGCCCAGACUCCUACGGGAGGCAGCAGUGGGGAAUAUUGCACAAUGGGCGGAAGCCUGAUGCAGCAACGCCGCGUGCGGGAUGACGGCCUUCGGGUUGUAAACCGCUUUCGCCUGUGACGAAGCGUGAGUGACGGUAAUGGGUAAAGAAGCACCGGCUAACUACGUG
rnacentral:rRNA from 1 species